rnacentral:tRNA from 1 species
GAGAGCGUAGCUCAGUUGGUAGAGCAUCGCCCUUUUAAGGCGUUGGUCGUGGGUUCGAGCCCCACCGCUCUCACCA